CUGAGAGAUAAAUUUUCUGUUUGAAAGUCUUUAAUAACAAUGAUGACGUUUAAAGAUCUAGAAACAGACUCUCAUGACCCACACAUCUGUUAAAUUUGCCAGAUUGCUUAAGUGUCAAUUUGUCUACAACAAUUUUCACAAGGUGUUAGAAGAUAAUUUACAAAGAGCUUCACAAUUUCUUCAUUAUACAACAGAUAUACCAG